CAUGAAUCCAGAAAUUCCAACCCUCUGUAUGUGGGAGAACAAGGGACAGCUCCCUCACGUGCUUACUAAGUCAAGUUUUCCAGGACAUAAAACGAGAUCCUUUGGCAUUUGAGAGUUGCUUUUUGUAUACAGCCCUUUAACGGAGCAAAUGGCCAGCCAGGAAACCAAAGUGUGGACAAGGGGAAAGAAGCAUCUGUGGAGGAAGUUCUACAAGCAACCCUCCUCAUCCAUCAACACGGAGAUGCAUUGACACCCUUCUUCAAUCCAGAGGAUGGGC
rnacentral:lncRNA from 1 species